rnacentral:rRNA from 1 species
UACAGAGGAUGCAAGCGUUAUCCGGAAUGAUUGGGCGUAAAGCGUCUGUAGGUGGCUUUUUAAGUCCGCCGUCAAAUCCCAGGGCUCAACUCUGGACAGGCGGUGGAAACUACCAAGCUGGAGUACGGUAGGGGCAGAGGGAAUUUCCGGUGGAGCGGUGAAAUGCGUAGAGAUCGGGAGGAACACCAGUGGCGAAGGCGGUGGCCUGGACCGAUGCUGACGCUGAGGCGCGAAAGCGUGGGGAGCGAUCCGG